rnacentral:rRNA from 1 species
UACGUAGGUGACAAGCGUUGUCCGGAUUUACUGGGCGUAAAGCGUGCGCAGGCGGCGCGUUAAGACAGGUGUGAAAGCCCCGAGCUUAACUUGGGAAUUGCGCUUGUGACUGGCGUGCUGGAGUGUGGCAGAGGGAGGUGGAAUUCCACGUGUAGCAGUGAAAUGCGUAGAGAUGUGGAGGAACACCGAUGGCGAAGGCAGCCUCCUGGGCCAGCACUGACGCUCAUGCACGAAAGCGUGGGGAGCAAACAGG